UACGUAGGGUGCGAGCGUUAAUCGGAAUUACUGGGGCGUAAAGUGUGCGCAGGCGGCAGAGCAAGUCGAGUGUGAAAAGCCCCCGGGCUUAACUUGGGAAUUGCGCUCGAAACUACUUUGCUGGAGUGUGGCAGAGGAAGGUGGAAUUCCACGUGUAGCGGUGAAAUGCGUAGAGAUGUGGAGGAACACCAAUGGCGAAGGCAGCCUUCUGGGCCAACACGUGA
rnacentral:rRNA from 1 species